GAGCCGUGGGCGUCAGCGAUGCUGGCAGCAGGC
rnacentral:sRNA from 1 species